GCCGCAUCGGUUCGAUCGGGAGACUCAUCAAUAACAUCAGAAAACCGAGAACGUUCUGCAUUCCAAUGGCGGGCUGCGCCCCUCACGGGGUAACCUCUCUCACGGGAGGCCGGCAGAUUACAAAGGGUGCAGGCACUCAAAUCAUUCAUACUCGGAGUUCUCAUCACAUCAUCGGUGCGGCUUUUUU
rnacentral:sRNA from 1 species